AGCAGCCGCGGUAAUUCCAGCUCCAAUAGCGUAUAUUAAAGUUGUUGCAGUUAAAAAGCUCGUAGUUGAAUUUCGGGAUCAAUAUAUUGGUCAUGCUUAGGUAUGUACUGGUAUUAUUGAUUUCUCCCUUCUGAAGAACCAUGAUGUCAUUAAUUUGAUGUCGUGGGGAAUCAGGACUGUUACUUUGAAAAAUUAGAGUGUUUAAAGCAGGCUUUCGCUUGAAUACAUUAGCAUGGAAUAAUGAAAUAGGACGUUUGAUUCUAUUUUGUUGGUUUCUAGGAUCGACGUAAUGAUUAAUAGGGAUAGUUGGGGGCAUUAGUAUUCAAUUGUCAGAGGUGAAAUUCUUGGAUUUAUUGAAGACUAACUACUGCGAAAGCAUUUGCCAAGGAUGUUUUCAUUAAUCAAGAACGAAAGUUAGGGGAUCGAAGACGAUCAGAUACCGUCGUAGUCUUAACCAUAAA
rnacentral:rRNA from 1 species